rnacentral:rRNA from 1 species
UACGUAGGGGGCGAGCGUUGUCCGGAUUUAUUGGGCGUAAAGAGCUCGUAGGCGGUUUGGUAAGUUGGAUGUGAAAUCUCCAGGCUCAACUUGGAGGGGUCAUUCGAUACUGCCAUGACUAGAGUUCGGUAGGGGAGUGUGGAAUUCCUGGUGGAGCGGUGAAAUGCGCAGAUAUCGGGAGGAACACCAGUGGCGAAGGCGACUACCUGGCCUGUUCUUGACGCUGAGGCGCGAAAGCUAGGGGAGCAAACGGG